AAGUCGUAACAAGGUUUCCGUAGGUGAACCUGCGGAAGGAUCAUUAAUGAAAUUAUGACUGGGGUUGUAGCUGGCCUAUAAAACGGCAUGUGCACGCUCCUUUCACAAUCCACACACACCUGUGCACCUUCGCGGGGGUCUUUUUUUCUCUUCGGGGGAAUAAAGGCUCGCGUCCCUUUACACACCCUUUGUAUGUCUUAAGAAUGUCUACUCGAUGUAAUAAAACGCAUCUAAUACAACUUUCAACAACGGAUCUCUUGGCUCUC
rnacentral:misc_RNA from 1 species